CCGCCGAAAGAAUCUCACGUGCAAGCUUUCUUACGGGAUUUGUCGAUGGGAUAAAGUUAAACGGUUCUACGGUCAAUGAAUUUGAACUUUCUUGGUUUUACCGGGAUAAUUAUUUGGUUCUUCUAUUAGCAGUAGCAUUACAGAUGAGGCACAAAAUCAACCUGGCAUCUUACGGGACUCUGUGUCGCAUGUACUGAAAUACCGAUCGAUCAAAACAAAUUGCGAGGGUGCUAACCGUCUGUGGCUAAAGCAUUGACAAAGAACAGAAUAUACGUGACAUCAUUGACUAAGUCUCCGUGCAGAUGAGCGGCAUUUUACCGCGCAAUCCCUUUGCGAUCUGUUAUAUCUACCAUUGUUGUUCUUAAUAGGAAAACGAAGAAAGACAUAUGAUAGCAACGAUAUCGAGCGGACAAGAGUGAUUUACGGCAAAUUGCCGCAGUGACAGCGGGUUGGAAGAACAAAAAAAUGCAUAUAACAACGACUGGCGUCAGUGUACAUAUUUGAUUAAACAAGAACAGAAAGGGUCUCUGCGCAGCGUUCUUUUUCUAUUCCCAUAUCGCACCCACUUACACGGUAACGUAUGACUCGCAUACUCUAUCUCUAUAUCUCUGUGCUAAGAACAAAAUAAAUGUGAUAUGCAAUGCUUUUCGUAGGUCUCACUCGUACCCUCUACUAUUUUUGUGUUACAUGCGUCGUUAGCAAUUCGAUAUAGUAUAGUGAUUUGAAUUAAGAGUAAAGUUUUCUAUGAAAUUACAAAUAGAAUUGUAAACGAAGUAUGGAGUUUUACACUUCUACAUACUUCUAUCUAAGAAACUCGCAACACAAUUUAUGGAUAACUCAAAUAGAUAAAUUGCGCACAAACGAAAAGAGCAAAAGAAUCAUCAACAACUUGCUUGUGUGGAUAAAGGUAUCGAUCAAGUACUUCAAUCUUCAUAAAUAUACUAAAACUAUACUUAAAACUAACAAAGCAACUUAAAAGUAAAGAUUUGAAAGUAAGAUUUAAGACUAAGGUUAAAAUUUAUACUUAAAACAAAGAGUAACUUCGCCGUUGC